GACAGAGGGUGCAAACGUUGUUCGGAAUUACUGGGCGUAAAGCGAGUGUAGGCGGUUUGGAAAGUCGGAUGUGAAAAGCCCCGGGCUCAACCCGGGAAGUGCACUCGAUACUCCCAGCUAGAGUAUCGGAGAGGUUGGCGGAAUUCUCGGUGUAGAGGUGAAAUUCGUAGAUAUCGAGAGGAACACCGGCGGCGAAGGCGGCCAACUGGACGAAUACUGACGCUGAGACUCGAAAGCGUGGGGAGCAAACAGG
rnacentral:rRNA from 1 species